rnacentral:siRNA from 1 species
UGAUCAGUCAGGCGAAAUGAU